rnacentral:rRNA from 1 species
CACGUAGGAGGCAAACGUUAUCCGGAUUUACUGGGCGUAAAGCGCGUGUAGGUGGUUCUGUAAGUAGGGCGUGAAAGCUCCCGGCUCAACUGGGAGAUGCCGUUCUAAACUGCAGAGCUAGAGGAUGGUAGAGGGAGGUGGAAUUCCAGGUGUAGCGGUGGAAUGCGCAGAUAUCUGGAGGAACACCAGUGGCGAAGGCGGGUAACUGGACUGCAACUGACGCUGAGGCGCGAAAGUGUGGGGAGCAAACAGGAUUAGAUACCCCGGUAGU